UUUAUUCAGCGUUCCGGUGCUUCCCCGAAAUUUCACUUCAAAGAAUAUCUAUAAUAUAUAUAUACUCUUCGUAACCGAUGGAAUUAAACUUCUCCCCAUAUAUAGGAUAAAGCCCUUCCCUUUCUCCCAUUACAACUCUAAUCCAUUCUGUGAGUGUAGAGUGUUGAAAAUGGAAAUGGAGAUGAGACCGUUUGAAACAGUUGUUCAACUCCCUCCGGUUGUGGCGGAGCAGCCGCCUGAAUCUGCUCUUCAAGGUCCCCAUCCUCUUGAUCCCGCCGCCGAGCCUUCUGAAUCGCUAGCCCAAGCUCCUCCUCCUCUUGAUGCCCCGCCUGAACCAGUAAUUCCACGCAAUGCUCAGCAACAAGACCUAGAAUUGCCGAAGCUAGUUGUAGCGUUCUGCCUCGCAGCAGCUUUUGAAAUCGGCUUCCGAUCCGUCCAGACUCGUAAACACUACCCUAUAACCUUCCAAUUGCUGUGUCUGUUAAUGGUGUUUGCACUCGCUUUUCUCGUUGUUGCUAAAUACAUCGUUGCCAACUACCCAAAACCAGGCCGCUUGCUUGAGCACGCUGGACUACUCUGUGGAGUUACCGCUUUCUUUGCAGCCAUCACCGUCUCUUUCCCUCUCUGCCUCAAGCUCAUUUCCUGGAUGGUAUAUGCUCUUUCAUUGCUUGCCAUUUCCAUCUGCAAUUGCGCUCCACCACUGUGAAAUCCCAAUGCUAAUCCUGUAGCACAGGAUUGUCAUUUAGGGAUUGGAAAUAAGCAUAGAAUAACAGGUGCACAAUACAUGUCCUGUUCUUGAAGUUUGUGUUUUCUGCUUUGUAUUUGUAUGUAUGCUUCUUGAACUUGUAUUCACUAGUUAAUUGUUUCAAAUAUAUGCUUCAAAUUUGCAUAAUAGUGCUUUUUUGAUUAUAUUGAUUUACAAUGUGUUAGUUGCAUUUAGUUUUCUUGUAAAUUUAUAGAGCAUUUCUUCCAUGGUGCAAUAUCAUCUAUUUCUAACUGAAUUAUAAUAAAUAUGGAUGCAUCUCAUAGUGUUUUUUCAUUUGAAUAACAUCUCAUUUUUCAUUUGGUAACCCAAGCUACUUGAAUCUCAGUUUGCAUGGCUGGAUGCUGAUAUUUGCCAUUAAAGUUAUGCAAAUAUUGUAAAAAAUUGAACUCUCUCUUUUGAAGUACCGGCGUAGUCUAUAAACUAAUAUGCAAUUCAAUAGGAUUAUACAUAGUGGCUCACAAGGCUAACUAACAACAUGAUCUAUAUCUAGGUGAGUAUGAGAUGGAUAAAUUAACUUACCAACCAGUCUCUGAUAUCUCUCCCUGUCAAAUUAAUCUUUAGUUUCAUCCCCUAACAUGCAAUUCUGCUUCAACAUGGUAUCAAUAGCUUUAUACCCAAGCACACUUUGUCCUUAAGAAGGUCCAAAACAUAUGUUCUUAGUGAGAUAAACACACUCUUUGAGAUGUUGCAACUUGCAACGUCAAUACUCAAGAAGUACUUCAAGUUACCAAAGUCUUUUAUCUCAAACUCCUUAGUAAGAUAGCUAUUCAACUUCUGCUUUUUCUAUGGAUCAAAUAUCAUCAACAUACACAAGGAGUGCAGUAACCUUGUUUUCAUGUUAAAUAAAUUGGGCAUGGUCAUCUUGACUCUAUUUGUAGCCACAUCUAAGCAUAGCCCAAGUAAACCUCUCAAAUCAUGCUCUAGCAGACUUUGUAGGUGAAAGAGUACUUUUGGCAUAUUACACUAGCAAUAUCAGACUUUGUAUGCUUCAAAUUUGCAUAACAGUGAUUUUUUAUUAUAUUGAUUUACAAUGUGUUGGUUGCAUUUAGUUUUCUUGUAAAUUUGUAGAGCAUUAUUUCCAUUGUGCAACAUCAUCUAUUUCUAACUGAAUUAUAAUAAAUAUGGAUGCAUCUCAUAGUGUUUUUUCAUUUGAAUAGCAUCUCAUUUUUCAUUUGGUAGCCCAAGCUACUUGAAUCUCAGUUUGCAUGGCUGGAUGCUGAUAUUUGCCAAUAAAGUUAUGCAAAUAUUGUAAAAAAUUGAACUCUUUCUUUUGAAGUACCGGAGUAGUCUACAAACUAAUAUGCAAUUCAAUAGGAUUAUGCAUAGUGGUUCACAAGGCUACGACAUAAUCUAUAUCUAGGUGAGUAUGAGAUGGAUAAAUUAACUUACCAACCAGCCUCUGAUAUCUCUCCCUGUCAAAUGAAUCUUCAGUUUCAUCCCCUAACAUGCAAUUCUGCUCCAACAUGGUAUCAAUAGCUUUAUACCCAAGCACACUUUGUCCUUGAGAAGGUCCAAAACAUAUGUUCUUAGUGAGGUAAACACUCUCUUUGAGAUGUUGCAACGUCAAUACUCAAAAAGUACUUUAAGUUACCAAAGUCUUUUAUCUCAAACUCCUUAGUAAGAUAGCUAUUCAACUUCUGCUUUUCUAUAGAUCAAAUAUCAUCAACAUACACAAGGAGUGCAGUAACCUUGUUUUCAUGUGACUGUUGAAUAAAUUGGGUAUUUUCAUCUUGACUCUGUUUGUAGCCACAUCUAAGCAUAGCCCAAGUAAACCUCUCAAAUCAUGCUCUAGCAGACUUUUUAAAUCCUAUAAUGCCUUUUUAAGCUUGCACACUCCCGUAAACUGAGAAAUCCUCAAAGCCAAGUGGAACAUCCAUAAAUACUUCUUCCUCUAAGUCUUCACAGAGUAAAGCAUUCGUCAUAUCUAAUUGUUAAAGAGGCUCAAUAUGUUAAUUCUCUAGAAUAGGCCACAUGAAGAGCUUUCGAAAUGGCAAUGCUGUGAAUUUCAGUCAAGUUGAGUGCUUAACUAACUUGCCAUGAGACAAAAUUGCAUGCUCAUAUCAGUGAGUUUUUUCAGGACUAUGUCAUGUCAGAGAAAUUCUACCUUGCAGCAAAUUUGCCUCGACAUGGUCUGGCUUAUUUAUUCUCUUUUCUGCAAAUUGUGCUUUAAGCCAUAUGAAAUGUUCAUGAGUACUGUCAUUGCUUCUAAUCUGGAUUUUCACAUGACUUUGUAGAUACAUCUCUCAUUGAUAACAUCUAAAAUAACUUCAAAAGCCUGAUAAUUGAUGAGCGCUUGGCAGGUCGCAAUGACCUUCGGUGCUAUUACUGGAAUAAAACAACCAACUUCACUGGAUAAUUAUACUUGAUUGACUAGCAUAAGCAAAUAAUAUGAAGUGCCAAGCACUUAAAAGGUAUUGGUCAUUCUCAGUGACUCCUAUUAGUUCUUCUGUGUCAUUUUACAUCCUUUAACAUUUGCUCAAUAUUGAUGACUGCAUAUUUCAAUAAACUCACAGAAUUUGACUUUCUUUAUAGAAUGCUUGCAUGGCAGUGAAGCUGUAAUAUCUACUCAGAUAGUUCUCACAUCCUGAUUAUCUAUAGCAUGUGAGUGAUUUUAUCUAUACAUUAUCGACUUAUUAUAUAAAUGAGUUCAAAUUUCCAGUUGCAGGAUGUUGAUGAAUGAAACAUUGUCAAUGGCAGAUCCUUGAACUUACCAAAAAAAGAAAAAAAAGAAAGGUAGAUCCUUCAACUUAUACUAAUAUGAUGAACAAAAUAUUCCAGUUCAGAUUCAAUUACUACAUGCUGAUAUGCCAGUAGCUAGGGACUUCAUUUUUCUUGUUUAGAGGCUUAUUACCAUCAAUUUUAUUGCUUUGUGUGCUAUUUAACUUGUUACAAAGCCUUGUUUUUAGUGUAACUCUGUUGGAUUCUAUGUCAGUUUCAUCGCUAAAAUGAACAACUAAGAUUACUGGAAAAUCUGUUACUCUCAACAUAGAGAAUUCUAACCUGCUGAAGCUAGCAGAUGCUAAUUUUUUAUUUCGAGUCAGCUUGAGGAUGGUUGCACUGUGGCAAUGCAUUUUUCUACUAGUUAAAUGGUGGAUCAUCUCCCAUAAAAAUAAAAAGAAAAGAAAGAAAGAUAGAAAGUAAAAAGAGGGAAAAAAAAUGGUGGAUCAUCAAUCUUACAUGACAAUAAUAUUCUGUUUAACUUGUUAAAAAGCCUUGUUUUUAGUGUAACUUUGCUGGGUUCUAUAUCAGUUUCAUUGCUGAUACGAACAAUUAAGAUUACUGGAAAAUUUGUUACUUUCAACAUAGAGAGCUCUAACCAGCUGAAGCAAGCAGAUGCUAAUUUUUAUUUCGAAUUAGCUUGAGGAUGGUUGGACUGUGGCAAUGCAUUUUUCUAUUGGUUAAAUGGUGGAUCAUCAAUCUUAAUGACAAUAAUGUUUUCUGUUGUAGGCAAUGUGAGGUUAGUUGGCUUUUCUAACAUAAAUUCUUCAACUAAUUAAGGCGUAGUGAUGGCUAAAGGAAAUUGUUUGCUAGUGAAGAUCCAGUCAUCCUCUGAUCAGCUGCUAUUAUGUAGCUUGGGUAUUUUUUAUAUUAACAUUAACAGUUAGGGGUGAACCGCUGAUAUGUACCUUGGGUAUUUUUUUUAUUAACAUCAACAGUUGGGGGUGAAGAAUGGAACAUUUCAUUUUGCAUGACAACAACUUGGUAAUUUGAAAUAUACUUUUAUAAUCAUAUUACUGUACAAGGGAUGUUUAUCUUGGACUUGUGAAUACGGAUUUUCUGGACCAAACAACUCUUUGGCUCAAUUGAUUUGUACCCGAAGUUGACAUCCUCUUACUUUUGUUUCACAUCCAAGUCUUUCCUACAAACCUGUAUUGUCCAACAAGAUGAGGGAUUUUAACUUUGUUAAUUAAAAAUUUCUUUUCUAUGGUAGAAAUGUGAUUCUUGAACAAUUAAGAGCUGCCAAGGUAGUGAAACGGCACAUGAAUAAAUCAUCUUCUUAGAGGGAACAAGGUUUGACGAACCAAGACAUUGAUUAUGGAUGUUCUAAUGAAAUUCACCUGUGACAUUGAAGUUUAUUUUGUGCCGUUGAUGUUGUUCUGUUUCGUUACAUUCUGAUUUGUUUCUAAAGUGACAAAAGUUGAAGUUUCCCUGAAGUAGUCACUCAAGAAUAAUGUGGAGCACUCCCCAGUUGCACAAGUGACCUCUACAUACUGGAGAGCUGUCCAUAAGCUACUCCAGAUCCAGAACACCAUUUCAGAGUCCCAGAAGCACCAGGUAAUUUUUCUACUCUUCAAUUUUCUUUUUCUUUUUCUUUUUUGGCUGCUCUGUCUCAAAUAUUCUUCCCUAGCUUUCCCACUAAACCUUCUGCUGCGUAAACCCUAAAGACUGCAGUGUCAACCAAUUUCUUUGGUCGUUGCUCAACAUCGUCUUAAUUGGCCUAAGCAAAUGAUAGCAUUUUGCUUAACUUCAUCUGUCAAAAUAGCCAUCCAAUUUAUUCAAACCUGACUACUCUUAACUUCCUCCAUUUUUUUUUUCCCUUGCAUUCUCACUAGCCUUUGCCUCCCUCUUUGUAGUGACUUGCUACUUCUUUGCUGCCACAGCAUUCUGCAUUGCUAUUUGAUUCCCUACAACAGCAGUCCUCCAUGCACCAACUGGUCUGUUUAUGCUGUCUCCUUGCUACUCAUUCUCAUAUACACCACACUAAUAAGCGUGAACGAGAACCUCAACAACCCCCCCCUCCCCUCAAAAAAAAAAAAAAA